CCUACGGGAGGCUGCAGUAGGGAAUCUUCCACAAUGGACGAAAGUCUGAUGGAGCAACGCCGCGUGAGUGAAGAAGGGUUUCGGCUCGUAAAGCUCUGUUGGUAGUGAAGAAAGAUAGAGGUAGUAACUGGCCUUUAUUUGACGGUAAUUACUUAGAAAGUCACGGCUAACUACGUGCCAGCAGCCGCGGUAAUACGUAGGUGGCAAGCGUUGUCCGGAUUUAUUGGGCGUAAAGCGAGUGCAGGCGGUUCAAUAAGUCUGAUGUGAAAGCCUUCGGCUCAACCGGAGAAUUGCAUCAGAAACUGUUGAACUUGAGUGCAGAAGAGGAGAGUGGAACUCCAUGUGUAGCGGUGGAAUGCGUAGAUAUUAGGAAGAACACCAGUGGCGAAGGCGGAUGACUGGACGACAACUGACGGUGAGGCGCGAAAGCGUGGGGAGCAAACAGGAUUAGAUACCCGAGUAGUC
rnacentral:rRNA from 1 species